AAAUGUUCUGAACCGGUCAUUUAUUCGAUAGAAAAAUAAUUUCCUGGUACAAUAACCUCUUUAGCUAUCUGGAAGACAUCCCACAAGUUGAAUCAAGAUAGUUCUUCAAAAGCGCAUUAAAAUGCAAUGAUGCUUCGGACAACUUUGUUUUUUGAGUCUAGAUAUUCCAACAGAACAACAAAAAACUUUCAGCUCCGAGGUUAAUGUAAGACGAAACUUUAAUGGGUUGUUUCGUCAUCCCCAGCUGUAGACGGUAUUUUAAUGAAUUUCCUCUUCGUAAGGUUUUUUCUUGUCUGUCUAUGCGACCUCUUUUCUUUCUGGCUAAUUAAAUAUCGUUGUUGUCAACAAAGCCACUAGUGGGGGCUCGGAGUUAGAACUAAACUGUCUGUUGUUGCACCCCCGUUGGUGGAAAACAACAGAGAUGAGUCUACAGCAUGGUCUAGAGGUAUACCGACUGAGAUACAAAACAACCACCAUUAUCGCUUGCUUUGUCAUUUUUCAUCUUGGUUAAAAAAAACUUUCAGUUUAUACUUACAUAAUUUCCCUACAGUUUCCAAAAUUAUUCACUUAAUAGCUUAAUAACAUGAGAUAUUCUAACAUUAAAUCAAUUUAAACCUAUUAAAUUUCGUUAUUUAUAAAAUUUCUAAACCGAGAUAUAUAAUAAAAAUCUAAAUUACUCUUGAAUUAAUCGAGUUAACAUUAUGGUGAAGCAAAAAUGUAUCUAAUUGUACGUGUUUCUUUAUUUAUUGCAGAGGACAGGAAAUUAUUUGUAGGAAUGCUCAGUAAACAGCAAACAGAAGAAGACGUACGUCAAUUGUUCCAACCCUAUGGCUCGAUAGAAGAAUGUACGAUUCUCAGAGGGCCUGAAGGACAGAGUAAAGGCUGUGCAUUCGUCAAGUUUAGCAGCCACGCCGAAGCUCAGGCAGCCAUCAGCGCCCUCCAUGGAAGCCAGACGAUGCCGGGUGCGUCCUCCAGUUUAGUUGUGAAAUUUGCGGACACCGAAAAAGAAAGACAAUUGAGGCGGAUGCAACAGAUGGCGGGUAACAUGGGGCUUCUCAAUCCCUUUAUGUUCAACCAGUUCGGUGCUUAUGGUGCUUACGCCCAGUUCAUGCAGCAACAAGCAGCGAUCAUGGCUGCAGCAGCACAAGGGAGUUAUUUGAAUCCUAUGACUGCAUUAGCCAUUGCCCAGUUACCCCAAAUGACUGCUGUCCCAAAUGGUUUAGCCAACCCAACCAUAACCCCCACUUCAGGUGCGGGGACUCAAGCUGUAAAUGGUGCUAUUCCUAACCUGCCUUCCCCUACGAUGCCGAAUUUCACCAUGCCCCAAGCCAAUGGUCAGACUGGUGAAGUAUAUGCCAAUGGAAUGCCUCAUUAUCCACCCCAGGCCAUUCCCAAUGGAGAUGCAUUGCAGCCACCUGCGUAUCCAAGUCUUCAGCCUUAUCCUGGAAUCCCAGCCUAUCCUGCUCCUUAUGGUCAGUUUGCUCAAGCUCUGACACCUCAGCCUGCUGUGAUCACCCAGACACAGAGAGAAGGUCCUGAAGGUUGUAAUUUAUUUAUUUACCAUUUACCACAAGAAUUUGGUGAUGCCGAGCUCAUGCAGAUGUUCAUGCCAUUUGGGAAUGUCAUUAGUGCAAAAGUUUUCAUUGACAGGGCUACUAAUCAAAGCAAAUGCUUUGGAUUUGUAAGUUUUGAUAACCCUGCCAGUGCCCAAGCUGCAAUUCAGGCAAUGAAUGGAUUUCAAAUAGGAAUGAAACGUCUGAAAGUACAAUUAAAACGCCCUAAGGAUGCCAAUAGACCUUAUUAAGUUUUGUAUCUUUACCUACUUUUGAGGUAAAAUGAAUAUUAAUUUAUUAUAUGGGUCUCAAAAGCAUAAAGGAGUAUGAUUUCCAUGACAUUUUGUCUGCACUGGAGGACCUGAUUAUUAAACUUCCCUUCUAGAAAGACAGUUUCAGCCUUAUCCUUCCUUUGAUAAGAAAAGAAAUAGAAAACUAGUGUUGGAUUGGACAUUAGUAGAGUGUAGCAGUGUACAUUUUCUUUGCUGCUUUCAGAGCUGAAUACAAUGAUAUAGAAAAAAAGACCUCCUUGGGGAUCAAAAUUCAAUGCUCUUCUGUAAAGACUCAACAUAACAGUAUUGUUUUUGGCCUUGUUGGUGCCAAGUGGUAAGUAACAUCAACCAUAUCAGCCCUUGGUGAAUAGACUGCACAUACUGUAAUAUACCAUGUUCUUCCAUCAUUUUAAGCCAAUUGGAUGCUAGAAGUUGAAAACAUUCAUCUUUCAGAAGACUGGAUCAGAAUCAGUGUUAAAACAUUGAAGACUUCAGACUUCUAGGCUUUAUAAAAGAAAGCCUCAUUAUGUGUCAAUCUGUCCACACUUCUGGACUACUAGAAUGAAGCAGCAGGACUAAAAACAUAAUGUAGACAAGUCUGUAUGUUACAAGAUAGAAUGAGACAUUGUCUCAAAACUUGUAUACAUUGAUUACAUCCUCGUAUCUUCCCAUUGUGCAGCAUAAUUUUUCUAGUAGCUCUAGAACUCUACAAAGAGAUUUCUUUUCUGAACAAAUAUUUUUCUCAUCUGUAUAGGAACGAAGAAAAAAGUUUUGCUCUUGGAGAUAUCUUUCGCGGAUUAUUGUAGAGUUUACAGAUACUUUUCACAAGCAAUGAUAAGAAUUAUUUUAGUCACGUAUUUGAGAUUGUAAGAGGUGCCCCAUUUCUGUUGUCCUCUAUCUGUUGGCAGCAUGUUUUGCCAUAGGAGGGUGUACCAGUCAACAAACCAGUACGUGCCAUCUGUUCCCAGUGACGCAGGGACGGUUAGGUUUUAGGAUGUAGAUGUAGUGUAAUUUAUUCCUGCAGUGGACAGGGUAUCAAGUCAACCAAGAAUCUUUCGGGCAGUUUUGCUUUUAGAUUUCGAUACCUAUAUAUUUGCAAUGCCGUUAUAUCUAGAAUAAACGACAUUUGCACUGUAGGCUUAGAAGGCUAGAAAACACUUUUGUAUUAAUAUUUUAAAAAUUGUACUUAGCUAAACAACACGCGACGAGUAGAGAUUGGAUGCCGGAAAAGUUUCGGCUAUAUGUUGAAUACAGCUCUUAGCUAAAAAAAAAAAAAAUCAACAAACAUGCCUUUGUUGAAUACUGUAUGGCAUGUAAAGAAAGCCUUACAAGUAUGCUAAUGAUAAAACAGCAAAAUAUUGCACCGUCUGUUUCUUUGGCUACAUCUCAUAGUAUGUAUGCAUUGGCACUGGUUUCAGUCAGCAAAGAUAUCAAGUUGGCUGCACUAGACUGAGUUAUAGAAUUUGUCAAGGGUCUGUGAUAGGACACCUUUCACAUCUUUUAUACUUUUUACAGUUGAAUUUUCCAGACAAUAUAGAAGAUUAAGGAAAACAUAUUUGAUGAAAAGAAUUAUUCGUAUAAAUGUGUAAAUUACCUUGAAAAAAAAUUUGCAGUUUUUCUUUCUUGAUUCAGAAUUUCCAAUUAUACCAUGCCAAAAACAUCCAGAUAGUAGCGCACAGACAUUCAUUGAGAUAGGACAUCGCUUUCAUAGGAUGUUUACAAGUAAUAGAAAGAAACAACAAUUAAUGCCAGUUACAACAUUCUGAGUUGGCUGCCUAUUGGAAGUUAUUUUGUUCUAUAAAGCAGCAUAUGUCCUAUCUGUGUCUUACUGGAUGGAAAGACAAAACAUAUUUUGAUCACUUGUAGAUUUAAGAAAAAUGGUCAAGUAGUUGCAUCUUCUACACUAAAACAUUUACUAGCAUUCCAGCUGUUAUAAUUUGGGGUUAUAUAUAUAAAUAUAUAUAUAUAUAUAUAUGUAAAGAUAGUUAGAUAGAUAUAUUGGGGAUUUUAGGGUGUAAUAUUCCAUGCCAAUGCAGCAUUUCAUACAGAGAAUUGCACAAACACAGCAUUCCUCUUCCCAGACUGACAAAGAUGAAUGUUCAAAAGAAUUCUUGUGUGUCAGUAUAUAUACUAUAUAUCUUUUAUAAUUGCAUCAGUUGGGUAUCAAUGAGCCAAAUGCAGUAAUAUAUCCAAUCUAAAGAUGCCAUCUUCAUUACAAUUGAUGUAUUAUUCUAUUAUUAUAUAUGAAUCAAUUUUCAACAACUUAGUUCGGUAUAAAUUUUUAAUAUAUUAUAUGUCAAGUUUAUAAAUUGUUAGUCUUUCAUUUUAAAAUUUACUAGCCAAGUCCUGGGAACAAGAGAAAUGAAAGAAGUGGAUUGAAAUUCUUAAGAAAAUGCUCAUUAAUUAUUGGUGUGAGACAGAAUGUUGAUAUCAAGUUCUCUAGCCAAAUUUAACUACCAUUGCAAAAUCUGCCCUACUUGCCAAAUGAAGUUUUUUAUUGAAUUGAUUUUUCUUCAUAGAAGAUUUUUGUAGAGUAAUUAUUGCACCAUAUGCCUAUCUACUAAUUCCCAAUGCCUUGGUGCAUGGGUUGCACCAUUUAGCAUGCUAUAUUGUAUUUCAUUAGAUAUAUAGAAUAUCAUCCUUGCUAAAACUCCUCAUUAACUACUGUGAAAGUGAAAGACAAAAAGAAGAAAAAGUGGAGGAGCUCAUUGUUCAUCUUGUUUAGCCAUAGUUAUCAUCACCUUAUUGAUAUAUAGCAAGCACUGUAGGCAAGUGAACAGCAGUGGGCAGACAUAUAUUGAUAUCCUUAACUAUAUAUAUAGUAUAUAUAUACAAACAUAUAUAUAUAUACACAUAUAUACACAUGUAUUCAUACAUUAUUUUCAUUCAAAAUAUUAUUGUUUGAUCUUUUUCUGUUUUGGUAAUUCAUGGAAUUAUUGUAAAUACGUAUAAAAUUUAUCUUUUAUAGAAUUUAUUAUGACUGUGAGCAUCAACUUAUUACAGAAGUCAUUAAAGUGCCUGUGAAGUGGUAAUAGAACUCAAGUCAUGGGACCAUUUCUUAGAUCACGAGGAAUGAAUAACCAGGCUGUUACUGAUAAUCUCAGUAUAUCCAAUGCAUUAUUGCUUUCAUUUUUAUUCAGAAUUAGAAGCACAACUCUCGUCUGACAAAACUCUACAUUCAUCCGACCAGUACUUUUCUUUAUCUUUUACAGUUCCAGCGUAAUCAUUAUAUUAAUCUAAUAUACUGAAUACCCAUUUAAUUUACUUUUAAGAAAAAGGGAAAAGUAUCCUGUAUGAUAAUAAACAGAAAAUUGUUUUUAAAUCUUUAUGUCAAAAUAUAAUGUAUAUAUAGGCUUAAUACAAAUUAUAUUUAUUUUUAAUAUAAAAAAAGUUGUAUUAAUUGGUACUUUUCAGCCUCCUCAAUCUUAAUUUUGUAUAUAGAAUUUUUGUUUAAGAGGAGGAAAAUAGCACAAUGCCUUAUUGAUCAAAUGGAAUCUCUUGUCUGUCCACUUGCUAUUCACUUCUUUGUCUAGAAUAGCUGUUAUUUAGAAAAUUUAGAAAAACUACUGCAGAAUUAUUUGUCCAGCACAUAGUGAUAGCUUCCAAUGGAAAAGUUCCAUCUAGAUGCCUGGCACUGAAAAGAGACUUUGGCUGUUGGAUACCAAAACUAUAUGUGAUUUUUAUUACCAUUUUGGAAAAUUAAGUUUCCCUGUAAAGAAUGAUGUCAAUAUCCAUAAUUGUGAUUAUGUUUUUUACUUACGUAGAAAUAGUGCUAACUGUGAAUUUCUAUACAUAUAUAUAUAUAUUAUAUAUAUAGAUACUGUAUUUCCUAAUGUAGAUAAUGUUUACUUUUAUCUUAAUUUAUUUAUUUAAGUCCUAAAGAACAAUUCAAUGUGGCCAAGUGCAAUCAUAAACCAUAAAGUAUUUAAAAUUGUUUUUUUUGUAAAGGUAUCAUCAACAAGAGGUCAAGUUUCAAAAAAUAUUUUGAAGCUUAAUGGAUCAUGUACAAUGUAUAUAGCAUAUCAACCAUAUGAACUACGGACAGUUAUAAUUUUUUGUUGAUAUUAUCUCAUGAUGAUAAAGAGUCAUCCUCCCCAGUCGUCCGCGUUGGCAAACUAUACUUCAUUAUAUCAUUCUAUAUACAUAAAUACAUAACUAGCUUUAUAAUUAUAAGAAUAUUUAUUCUUUAUUUGCUAUCUCCUUUCCCCUAUCAAAAAUCAUCGACGCCCCUAGCAGCUAGUUAUAACACAAAGUUAUAUUAUCAAAACUUUUUGUAAUCGGGGAGAUAAAUUACAAGAAUCCAGUUAACAGGUUUAUAGGUUUGUCAUUAUGGGCGGGGGAAGGGUGUGUGUGUGAACCAAUUUUGUACUAGGUGAAUAUUAAUUCUCCAUUUCUUGUUACAGUCAAACGGUCCACACAAUCGCAAACAUGAGCACGAUCAUUUUGAAUGGCCGUUCCGGGGUCAUUCUCUUGUUUUUUCCUUACUCUGGGAUUGCCAUGUGAUUAAGUACGAGCUUACUCAUGGGGAAGGAAAAACUCCAUAUCCCAGUCAAAAUAACAACAGCAAAGUUUGAUAUCCUAUCAUGAGCACUGUAAUUAGUCUAACCAUACUCUCUCAAAUCUAUUAUACUUGUACCCUAAUGCUUCUCUUCAGAAAAUAAACUGCAAUCUUUGAAU